GAAAUGCGAUAAGUAAUGUGAAUUGCAGAAUUCAGUGAAUCAUCGAAUCUUUGAACUCACCUUGCGCUCCUUGGUAUUCCUUGGAGCAUGCCUGUUUGAUUAUCAUGAAAUCUUCAAAGUAAAUCUUUUGUUAACUCAAUUGGUUUCUACUUUGGUAUUGGAGGUCUUUGCAGCUUCACACCUGCUCCUCUUUGUUCAUUAGCUGGAUCUCAGUGUUAUGCUUGGUUCCACUCGGCGUGAUAAGUUAUCUAUCGCUGAGGACACUGUAAAAGGUGGCCAAGGUAAAUGCAGAUGAACCGCUUCUAAUAGUCCAUUGACUUGGACAAUACUUUUAUGAUCUGAUCUCAAAUCAGGUAGGACUACCCGCUGAACUUAAGC
rnacentral:misc_RNA from 1 species